UACGUAGGGUGCAAGCGUUGUCCGGAAUUAUUGGGCGUAAAGAGCUCGUAGGCGGUCUGUCACGUCGGCUGUGAAAACCCGAGGCUCAACCUCGGGCCUGCAGUCGAUACGGGCAGACUAGAGUUCGGUAGGGGAGACUGGAAUUCCUGGUGUAGCGAUGAAAUGCGCAGAUAUCAGGAGGAACACCGGUGGCGAAGGCGGGUCUCUGGGCCGAUACUGACGCUGAGGAGCGAAAGCGUGGGGAGCGGACAGG
rnacentral:rRNA from 1 species